rnacentral:rRNA from 1 species
CAGCCAUGCCGCGUGUGUGAAGAAGGCCUUCGGGUUGUAAAGCACUUUCAGCGAGGAAGAACGCCUAGUGGUUAAUACCCAUUAGGAAAGACAUCACUCGCAGAAGAAGCACCGGCUAACUCCGUGCCAGCAGCCGCGGUAAUACGGAGGGUGCGAGCGUUAAUCGGAAUUACUGGGCGUAAAGCGCGCGUAGGUGGCUUGAUAAGCCGGUUGUGAAAGCCCCGGGCUCAACCUGGGAACGGCAUCCGGAACUGUCAAGCUAGAGUGCAGGAGAGGAAGGUAGAAUUCCCGGUGUAGCGGUGAAAUGCGUAGAGAUCGGGAGGAAUACCAGUGGCGAAGGCGGCCUUCUGGACUGACACUGACACUGAGGUGCGAAAGCGUGGGUAGCAAACAGGAUUAGAUACCCUGGUAGUCCACGCCGUAAACGAUGUCGACCAGCCGUUGGGUGCCUAGCGCACUUUGUGGCGAAUUUAACGCGAUAAGUCGACCGCC